AUUGAACGCUGGCGGCAUGCCUUACACAUGCAAGUCGAACGGACUGUUCUUCUUCGGAUGAACGGUUAGUGGCGUCCGGGUGAGUAACACGUGGGUGACCUACCCCGAGAGGGAAGUAACUACCCGAAGGGUUGCUAAUUCCGCAUGAUCUCGGACAUUCAUUUGUCCGAGCAAAGUCGCAAGACGCUUUGGGAGGGGCCCGCGGCCGAUUAGCUAGUUGGUAGGGUAAUGGCCUACCAAGGCGAAGAUCGGUAGCUGGUCUGAGAGGAUGAUCAGCCACACUGGCACUGAAACACGGGCCAGACACCUACGGGUGGCAG
rnacentral:rRNA from 1 species